rnacentral:lncRNA from 10 species
GUGAGUGAAUUAGGAGCUGAAGCAGUAAAGUAGCUUUCCCUGUGACCCUGAUGUGUCGGGCAUUUCUGUCUUAGACUAAAAGCAUAAUAAAAAAGGCACUUUGUUUAGGUUAACAGAGCAUUAUAUAACUGGAAAGUUUUACAGUUUUAUAUAUAUAGUGAAUAGUUUGUAGAGGAUAAAAAGACUUCCCUUUGGUUUAUUAUUUGGGUAAAAUAAAAACCCACGAAUCAUUUAAGGAUGCAUUUCUUUUUCUUUUUUCUGCCUUUUUUUUUUUAAGACAAAAGCUUGAAGGCAUAAAAUGGAGUUAUUUUCAUCGGGAUAUCACCCUCGAUGCUGCUGCUUUACUACAUGUUCAUAGUCAAAAUUAUUUCAUGUUUCCCUUGAAUAACUACGAUCAGUUUGAAAACAGCUUUGUUAAUUAGUAAGAGAUGACGCAAUAUAUCACUGCAUCUUUAGGGCUCUGGCGCCAGCUAGUGGUAGGAGAGGGGAGCCGCCCUGUCGCUCUCAAAUCUGGGAAGGCGUCGGUCUUCUCGCGUCCCCUUAUCCCUCAUCCUCCUCAUUUUUUUUUUCCAUCAGCAUAAUGGGGGAAUCAUUGCAGUGUGGCCAGAGAGGAGCAGACGAGAUUAUAGAUGAAAGUAGAGAAAAACGGUGGGCAGGGGCAGGGAGAGGAAAGGCCAGACAAAUGCAAUCAUUUCUCCAAAGGAUUUGAGAAGAGAUCAUUUAUUUGAAAUAUUCCUGCCAUGUUGAUGGAGCAGCUCAAUCUUUUGCCAGUGAAUCUUUAGCGUUUUGUUUUUCAUUUGUAGAUAUGGUUGAACAUAUACUUAGGACACGUAAUAACUAUGGAACUUCAUCACAAACACAGCACUGAGGACAUGUUCUGAAUACAGACAAUAUGGAGGCCUCAGGCUCAGAGGAUGGCAGAGUCUUCAGAUGGAUGGAGGGAGCUGCAGUCACUGAACCACUGCAGGGAGAGAAGUACUCACAGACCAGGAACGCUCAACUUGGACUGUUAUGUGACAGAAAGAACUUGAUGUAUACCUCCUGACCUGUUCAUCUUGUAGCUGCCUCUUGACAGACUUGUGACUGCUUUGCCCAAAAAAGCAUGAUGGAAGUGAUGCCAUGAGGCUGUUACUGAGGCUGGAUCACAAGACCAUGCAGCUUCUGCCUUAUCACUCUUCAGCCCUGAGAUUCCAGAUAUAAGAGGCCGCCCUGUAGAGGAGGAAGGAGGAAGUUGGCUGUGAUUGACCUUGCUAGGUCAUCUUCCUAAUCUUUGUCCUUUCCUGCACCCCAAAUGGAAGAUAAAAGGCAAUGCAAGAUCAGCAUCCUCAGAGACAUCGUUUUGUUUGGGUUUCAUGGAUUGCAAUUGCCAGAGAUGCUUAGGCUGCCUCUAGAGGGAAGAUGAUUGAUUGUUAACCUAUGUGGUCCAACCAAAUGUCUUAGGGGUUAUUGAUAAUUAAAAUGGACAAUAGCGAUUUUCCAUUUCUUCUGGCCUUGGGUGCUGGCAUGUGGAAGUGGUAUUGAUACUCAUGACCAAAUAGGCACUUAUCGAUUUCAGUUUUCAUAAGUUGCCUACCAAAUGCAAACUAGUAACCCAGACGUGGGAGACCUAAUAUUCCAUUGUUAAUCUUUAGGUCCAUAAUUUUUAUUUCCUCUACUUGCCUCUUCUUCCUUCCUCUGCAUAAUGAGUUGGGCUUAUAUAAUUGCACCCAUUUACUCACUCAUUCGUUCAAUCAAUUAUUUGUUCCUAUUUUAUGCCAAGUAAUGAACAGAAGGUGUUGGGGAUGCAAAACCCAACUAAUUGGAAUUUCUAUGUUACAGGAGCUUAUGCUUUAGUGAAAUUAUAGACAAAUUAUUAUACAGUUUUAAUCCAGAAUAGUAAGUGCUAUGGGAGCAUGCACAGAGGAAACAACCCAAUCUUAAGGAAUCAGGAAGGUUUGCAGAGGACUGACAGGAAAAGUGGGCAGGUGAAGAAGAUGGGCAGUGAGAGGAGGAGUGGAAGCACUUUUGCUAGGGAAAAACAUGAAUAAAAGGGAUAAUUUUCUGCUCUUACCCCUGGGUGAUCUUUGCGUGGUACUGUCCAUCACAGUUGGGAGAGACGGCUCCUCAGAGCUGCUCCACACUGUUCACAGAGGAUGCCAUUCCAAGGAAACUGGGGAAUAGGGAAAGUCUUUAGCUUAUUCCUCUUUGAGGUUUGUUUGAGAUGCAGUUUCUUCAAUAUUUUGAGUCUAUGAAAACAUGUUGUAUACUUAAAUAUAUACCACAAAAAAUAAAAAAAAUUGCGAUUUAAA